GUACUUAAGGGGAGGCUGCCAGCACUUCAAUGCCAGAGUGUUUGCCUUAGAGAUUUCUAACCUAAGGCUUUGUUUACCUUGCUGAGACUCAACUACGCUCCAGACGUUUCUGGGGAAUUAAGAUUAUUGUCUACUGGAAAUUGGAUCUACGUUUUUCGGACACGGACCAAGCUGACGGCUUCCCGCUUCCUCCUACUUCAGGACCAAGGCAUUAGCGUACCCUGUUCCACCCUCCAACACAAGUACCUACACCUGAAUUAUCUCUGGUCCUCACCCAGUCCUCUCAGACAGCACCAGAGAGAACAGCUGAGCAACUUCUACCUCGCAAGCCAAGACCCCGAAUCUCUCUACCCCUGGUGGUUCAAGCAGCAACAAUUUAUUGGCGUUUCCCGUCCUCGUUCGAUUACUUUGCUGACAAUAAAAACACCUUACAUUUUGUUCCUACUUCUGGGCGUUUUUCUGUAUGUGGGUCAAAGCUGUCUCGAAAACAAUGACAAUAAAUCCACUUCAACCGGUUCAAAAUGCCGCUACACACUUUUUAACCGAUGCCAAAAACAAGAAUACGUCACUAAUUUUUUUUAGUAUCAUUACAUUAACUUCCAAUUCGUUUCCAGAUUGAUUUUAAAGUUCUUUUUUUUUUCGUUUUCAUGGUCUCGCCCCUCUGUCCAACUUGAUCCAGCUGUAUGCUCACUGACGCUCACUCAGGUCGGCAGAUCAGUUACGAUUGAUUUUGUCUUUCUUAAUUUAUAGUGUGGAUAGGAGAAAGAGCCCUCUGGGAACAGGAAGCCAUGGAUUUGCUAACAAAACCCUUCCACACAGUGUCUUACAAUUAAAGUGUAAAUCCAAAAAAAUAAAUGCUGCCUCAGGUUUAUUUUUCUAUUUUUUAUUUCUUGAAGU